rnacentral:lncRNA from 1 species
AAAAAAAAAAAAAAAGAGAGACAAAAGGAGACACUUUAUCACCCACCCUAUCCUGAUAUCCGGAGACAGGUCGUAUAUUUGUAGAAUGUGUGUUGAAAAAGUGUAAUGUAUUACCUAUUUUUUAUGGGGGUUAAUUGCAUUCUCUCAGUAUCAAGGGUGUACGAUGCAAAUAUACACAUGGGAUACCUACAGUACCAAUGAAGUAAAAUCCAGACUGUCUAGUCGGACAGUAUCGGGGUUUAUAUAGCCAGGGCAAUAAUAGUACAAAGGUCCCGAUACGCUCUCUACCCUCCCCACACAAAAAAAAAAUUUUAAAAAAAUUUCACAUCUCUAUCUUGUAUCAACAGGGUGGUUGAUAUUAAUAUUAAGGUAUAUCAAUAUAGGGGUGGAAGUAUUCAGAUAAAUCCCUUAGAUCUCUCAACCUCCUUAAGAUUACAAAGCAGGAAAACACACUCCCCCCCCUCCCCUCCCCUCCCAUUUCAGAUACGCAGGUAAUAAAACCCAAUCUCCUAACUUUGUGCUCAUAGUCUCCUAAAGUAUCCAGAAUAUAAGAGUGGAUUUGCCCAACGGGCUGGUACGUAGGUCACAUACCCUCACAGAUAGUGGUUCCUCUCCCGCACAGAGAGCGAACUCGUUUUCCCCCUCCUGGUUACCCCCCUCCCUCACCCUACCACCCCCUCCCCCUCAGGAACAGCCGUAUCCCAGUUAAGUGACUAGGUCAGAGGACCCAUACUACAGGGAUAGAUUAAUCCCCCGAUCUACUAAAAUCUGAUCCCUACUCAAGAAGGUACCUAGAUUCGGGGGUGGACUGUUCACAUUCCUGUUACUCCUACUUAUUGGUUAUACUGUUCGAAUAAGAGUUCACACAGUUAUCAGAAAGCUACUUAAUCAACUGCAACAAUCUGAUAGGACCUGAGUGGUCGUAGAGACCAUAAAAUACACUGCAUCAGAUCAUAUAUACAUAACAUCACACGUCAACUUUAAGAAAAUUCCUUCACUAGAGACAGUGACACAACUACACCCUGAGCUGGUUCAUCAUGACGUCCAUCCGCUUUCACUCACAAAAUGCAAAAGGGUUAAAUACACCUGAAAAAAGGGCGCUAGCUCUAGCAGACUUCUACAGACACAAAGCUGACAUAGUGUAUAUCCAGGAGACUCAUUUCAGGAAAGACAAGGCCCCCUCUCUCAGAAACCGGAGGUAUCCCAAGGGCUAUUUCAGUCACUAUGUUGGGGCAAAGGCCAGAGGAGUGGCGAUAUUGAUAAGUCACCAUCUUCCUUUUCAAUUUCAUGACCAACUUCAAGAUGAGGCAGGGAGAUAUAUAUUUGUGAAAGGGAAAAUAGGGAAUGUGAAAGUCACGUUAGCGAACCUAUACCUCCCCAAUAAGAAACAAUGCCAGGCAAUGUCAAAGAUCCUGAAUAAACUCACCAGAUUUCAGGAAGGCAUACUGGUUAUAGGAGGUGAUAUUAACAUACCUCUAGACGGCGAAUUAGACUCCACCUCUACCCACAGCGAAUAUUUAGCCCCGGCGCGCAAGAGAUUUCGCAAUAUCUUACAUGAAGCCAGACUAUACGACAGUUGGAGGGCCCUCCACCCGAUGAAAAAAGACUAUUCCUUCUACUCCCCACCAACGGGUAGCUACUCCCGAAUAGAUACAUUGUUUCUACAACACAAACACCUACCCCUACUCAAAAGCGCAUCGUACGGUCAGAUAACGUGGUCAGACCACGCUCCCCUUUCGGUGGACCUCACAAUCCCCUCAGUCCCAGAAAUGCGCCCACAUUGGAGAUUAAACGACCUUCUCCUAAAUAACCCUACAUACAUAGCAAGCAUACAGGAACACUUAAAGCGGCACUGUCAUGCCGAACUUACCUUUCCUCAAUCUCUUCCUCUUCUCCCCCUCUCUCAGGAUCUGUUAUUCUUUUCUUCCUGUCUUCUUUAAUUUUCUAUAAAAUCAUAAGACAAAGAAGGGACUCUUUGCCUUAUGGAGGAUUCCUCCGCUUGACCAGCUCUGACCAGCGGAGGAGCAAAGUGUGCUUCAUUUCCACUGGUCAGAGCAAUUUUCCCAUGAUCCUUACCUUCCCUCUGUGUUCCCACAAUGCUUCCUGUCACUUUCCACAAAACUACCGAAUUGUGUUCUAACUGAAUGACAACAGUAUGUUCGUUUCUUUUAGAACGCAAUUCGGCACUUUAUUCGGAUCGGAG